GAUGAACGCUGACAGAAUGCUUAACACAUCAGCAAUUGAUUGGUGGCGGACGGGUGAGUAACGCUUAAAGAACUUGCCUCACAGCUAGGGACAACAUUUGGAAACGAAUGCUAAUACCUAAUACUGUGAGAGAGCUUUGCGGCCCAUUAGCAAGUUGGAGAGGUAACGGCUCACCAAGGCGAUGAUGGGUAGCCGGCCUGGGAGGGUGAUCGGCCACAAGGGGACUGAGACACGGCCCUUACUACUACGGGAGGAAGGAGUGGGGAAUAUUGGACAAAGGACCAAAGUCUGAUACAGCAAUUCUGUGUGAAAGAUGAAGUUUUCGGAAUGUAAAGUGCUUUCAGUUGGGAAGCGGUACCAAAAGAAGAAGUGACGGCUAAAUACGUGCCAGCAGCCGCGGUAAUAC
rnacentral:rRNA from 1 species